UACGUAGGGACCGAGCGUUGUCCGGAAUCAUUGGGCGUAAAGAGCUUGUAGGCGGUUUGUCGCGUCUGCUGUGAAAAUCCGGGGCUCAACCCCGGACUUGCAGUGGGUACGGGCAGACUAGAGUGUGGUAGGGGAGACUGGAAUUCCUGGUGUAGCGGUGAAAUGCGCAGAUAUCAGGAGGAACACCGAUGGCGAAGGCAGGUCUCUGGGCCACUACUGACGCUGAGAAGCGAAAGCAUGGGGAGCGAACAGG
rnacentral:rRNA from 1 species